GCGUCGGUGCGCCUGCGCAGACAUCGGGGUUUUUGGAGGAGACCGGGGUCGGAGCUUAUGGUGGGGGCUGGUCGCUUUGUUUCUGGGUCAUUUUGCCCCACGCCUGGGGGCCAGGUCGGUGACCCUCAGGCCCCGCCUCCACCUCAGCUGUCUUUUUUUCGAGCGGCUUAGAGGACAGGCCAAACCUCAGAAGGUCGCGGUGGAACUUGCCUGAGGUGUUAAAAUCAACUCAGAAGCAACGGCGCCUGAGGUCGCAGUGAUUGGGUAUUUUGUAAACCCCAAAGUCCCAGCGUUGUGGAAAGUCAUUUACUGUAUUUGCUGGGCUGGCGCCGUCAGCCAAAAUAAAGCGCCAACGUGCGUUUUUGGAGUCAGUAAACCUUACCUUAUGCUUUUGGGGAUCGGAGAACCCUCUGGCGCAAUUUUGGGCAUCAAGCUAAAAUCUGAAGAAACCUUGUCACCUCUGCACAAGCCCCCUAUACUGGACUCAUGAAGUGAAUCAGAGCCAUCAUCUGAGCCAGGAGAUUCCCAUCAAUGGUCAAGGUUAAGAGAUGAUUAGUUGAAACUGGUUGUUGAUGGUCAUACUCUUGAAAAAUCAUCUCUUUAAA